rnacentral:lncRNA from 1 species
CCCUGUUCAGCCAUUUCUUGCAUGUUUUUAUGUGAUGAUUUCAUGAUGUUCUAGGGGGUUUUUGGGGAGUAGUUUAGAGUUAUGUUUAUGUAUGUUUGGUCCCUCAUUGGAGUCCACCUGUGUAGGUUCGGACCCGAGGAACCGAGGACCCCAGCAGUGAGCCAGCUGCUACAGAGUUUGUCAGAGCCAGCCAGAGGUGAGUGGAAUAAACCUUAAAUUUUAAAUUAAUGAAAUAUGAAUUUUGAGCAUGAUCCAUGCAUCAUGAAUGCCAUGAGAUAUAGUAGGUUGUUUGCAUUAGUAUUCACGAAUAUGUUGCAUUGCAUAUUUGAUGAUGAUGUGGAUGGGUAUUGAAUGAUCCUUUAGUCCUUGAUAUGUUAUGAUGAGACAUGUUAUGGUAUGAUUGCCGGUUGUACCCAUUCUACGUCCCGGCCAGAGUAAGAGAAAG